rnacentral:rRNA from 1 species
AACGAACGCUGGCGGCAUGCCUAACACAUGCAAGUCGAACGAGACCUUCGGGUCUAGUGGCGCACGGGUGCGUAACGCGUGGGAACCUGCCCUUAGGUUCGGAAUAACUCCCCGAAAGGGGUGCUAAUACCGGAUAAUGUCUUCGGACCAAAGAUUUAUCGCCUUUGGAUGGGCCCGCGUUGGAUUAGCUAGUUGGUAGGGUAAAAGCCUACCAAGGCGACGAUCCAUAGCUGGUCUGAGAGGAUGAUCAGCCGCACUGGGACUGAGACACGGCCCAGACUCGUACGGGAGGCAGCAGUGGGGAAUAUUGGACAAUGGGCGAAAGCCUGAUCCAGCAAUGCCGCGUGAGUGAUGAAGGCCUUAGGGUUGUAAAGCUCUUUUACCCGGGAUGAUAAUGACAGUACCGGGAGAAUAAGCUCCGGCUAACUCCGUG